rnacentral:rRNA from 1 species
UACGGGGGGGGUAAGCGUUGUUCGGAAUUACUGGGCGUAAAGGGCUCGUAGGCGGCCAACUAAGUCAUACGUGAAAUCCCUCAGCUUAACCGAGGAACUGCCUGUCAGACUGGAAGGCUUGAGACCGGGAGAGGUGAGUGGAAUUCCCAGUGUAGCGGUGAAAUGCGUAGAUAUUGGGAGGAACACCAGUGGCGAAGGCGGCUCACUGGACCGGAACUGACGCUGAGGCGCGAAAGCGUGGGGAGCAAACAGG